UACGAAGGGGGCUAGCGUUGCUCGGAAUCACUGGGCGUAAAGGGUGCGUAGGCGGGUCUUUAAGUCAGGGUGAAAUCCUGGAGCUCAACUCCAGAACUGCCUUUGAUACUGAGGAUCUUGAGUACGGGAGAGGUGAGUGGAACUGCGAGUGUAGAGGUGAAAUUCGUAGAUAUUCGCAAGAACACCAGUGGCGAAGGCGGCUCACUGGCCCGUAACUGACGCUGAGGCACGAAAGCGUGGGAG
rnacentral:rRNA from 1 species